UACGAAGGGGGCGAGCGUUGUUCGGAUUUACUGGGCGUAAAGGGCGCGCAGGCGGUUCUGUUUGUCGAGUGUGAAAGCCCCGGGCUCAACCUGGGAACUGCGCUCGAAACGGCGGAACUAGAGUUCGGGAGAGGAGAGUGGAAUUCCCAGUGUAGAGGUGAAAUUCGUAGAUAGUUGGGAAGAACACCGGGUGGCGAAGGCGGCUACUCUCGGACCGAUACGUGACGGCUGAGGCGCGAAAAGCGUGGGGAGCAAACAGGG
rnacentral:rRNA from 1 species